UACAGAGGUCUCAAGCGUUGUUCGGAUUCAUUGGGCGUAAAGGGUGCGUAGGUGGCGCCGUAAGUCAGGUGUGAAAAUUUUCGGAGCUUAACUCCGAAACUGCAUUUUGAUACUGCGGUGCUUUGAGGGACUGGAGAGGAGACUGGAAUUUACGGUGUAGCAGUGAAAUGCGUAGAGAUCGUAAGGAAGACCAGCGGCGAAGGCGGGUCUCUGGACAGUUCCUGAC
rnacentral:rRNA from 1 species